CCUACGGGAGGCAGCAGUGAGGAAUAUUGGUCAAUGGGCGCUAGCCUGAACCAGCCAAGUAGCGUGAAGGAUGACUGCCCUAUGGGUUGUAAACUUCUUUUAUAUGGGAAUAAAGUGCAGUAUGUAUACUGCUUUGCAUGUACCUUAUGAAUAAGGAUCGGCUAACUCCGUGCCAGCAGCCGCGGUAAUACGGAGGAUACGAGCGUUAUCCGGAUUUAUUGGGUUUAAAGGGAGCGUAGGCGGGUUGUUAAGUCAGUUGUGAAAGUUUGCGGCUCAACCGUAAAAUUGCAGUUGAUACUGGCAGCCUUGAGUACAGUAGAGGUAGGCGGAAUUCGUGGUGUAGCGGUGAAAUGCUUAGAUAUCACGAAGAACUCCGAUUGCGAAGGCAGCCUGCUGGACUGUAACUGACGCUGAUGCUCGAAAGUGUGGGUAUCAAACAGGAUUAGAUACCCCAGUAGUC
rnacentral:rRNA from 1 species